rnacentral:rRNA from 1 species
CGCGCAGGCGGCUAUUUAAGUUGGAUGUGAAAGCCUACGGCUCAACCGUAGAACUGCAUCCAAAACUAUUUAGCUAGAGUGUGGGAGAGGAAGAUGGAAUUAGUUGUGUAGGGGUAAAAUCCGUAGAGAUAACUAGGAAUACCAAAAGCGAAGGCAAUCUUCUGGAACAUUACUGACGCUGAGGCGCGAAAGCGUGGGGAGCAAACAGGAUUAGAUACCCUGGUAGUCC